rnacentral:rRNA from 1 species
GACGAAGGGGGCUAGCGUUGUUCGGAAUUACUGGGCGUAAAGCGCGUGUAGGCGGUUGUUCAAGUCAGGUGUGAAAGCCUUGAGCUCAACUCAAGAAAUGCACUUGAUACUGGAUGACUAGAGGACCGGAGAGGAUAGUGGAAUUCCCAGUGUAGUGGUGAAAUACGUAGAGAUUGGGAAGAACACCAGUGGCGAAGGCGGCUAUCUGGACGGUUUCUGACGCUAAGACGCGAAAGCGUGGGGAGCAAACA